rnacentral:lncRNA from 1 species
AAAUUUAUUUCUCUGUUCCGUCAAACGCCUUAUCAUUUGGUUUGGAAAUAAGUUAUUUUAGCUUAUUCCUGUUAUAGGAACAACUCUUGGGAUAACCAAUAACAAGAUCAAUUUUAUUUUUGGAUGAAAAUUGAGUUAUUCUCAAAAAUUUAAUAAUAAUUUAACUUAUUUAAUUAACUAAUUAAUCAUGAAUACAGCUAGAUAACACUUAAUAUUAAUUAAUAAAAUAAUUAACAAUAAGUACUAUUAAUUAAUAAUUUAAUGAAUCAUAGUUAAUUUAAUAAUUAAUAAAUUAAUUAGUUAAUUAGUUAAUAUUUAGAUAAUUUGUUAAUAAAAUAAUUAGAUUAGCCAAAAUAUUAAUUCGUUAAUCAAGAUAAAUAUUAAAUAUUGCAUAAACAUCAUAAUUAAUUAAUUAUUUAUUUAUAUAAUUAAUUAUAAAUAAUAAAUAAUUAAUUAUUUUAUUAUUUAAACAAUAGAUAUUGACUUAAAUAUAUUAACUAGAUUAAUUAGUUAUUUAAUACUUUAAUUAAAAUUAGAUUUAGACUUUAAUUGUAACACACCGGAUUUUUAAUUUAAAAGUGAAUAUAAAUAAAAAUAGUGUGAGAUACUAUUUUUAUUGGAUUUAAAGAAGUAAAAUAUAAGUCUGGAAUGACUCGUGUUGAAAUCGGAACGAAAACAGAAGAUUUAGAAUUUUCUGUGCGAAAUGGGACUGAUAUUUUAGUAGAAAAUGCACAGUGUCAGAAAAUUAUGAAAACUGGAGAAUAAUGUCAGAAUUAUUUUUAUGAGGGUAGAUGUCACGCCCCGGGCCCCAGCGGAAGCCCGCCCGGCACGUGCACAGACCCGCCAUACGUCUAAAACAUAUAAGGCGUCUACUAACAACAAUAAUAAAAGCAAUAACAAAAGACAUCUAGAAGUAUCAGAGCAUAAUAAAUGUCUAAAUGCUACAACAAGGGAUAAAGAUAAAACUGUAAAUCCACUAAAUAAAACAUAAAGUGAUACAAGCAGAUCCCAGAUACAAGUGCUAAAAGUAGGUACAUAGGUGGUUUCUAUACAUGGACACAAAACCUCUCGCUCUCUCAGCUACAAAAAGAAAGAGCAAUCCACCUAGGCAAAGUACCGCUCCUCGCUAGCUAGCUACGCGAUCCCCUUGCCGCGAUCCCGUGCCUCCGCCGGUGCCGAAGGCUUUGAAAAGUAAACCAUAAAAC